GUGUUUAUUGUCCAUCGAAUGGCUGCUGCGAUUUGGAAAUCAGUUUCUGAAACCUUUCCACAGUUAUUACUUCCUGUUUCAUGAAUGGCAAUGAUGGCGGCUAUGUUUACGUCCCCCUCUUCAGCCAGAACACGAGAUGUAUGUCCUAUAGAUAAAGGUUAUGCAUAUAAUACAUCAUCAAAUAUAUGUGCAAAGAUGUCAACAUACCGUACGACUUGGACAAAUGCACUAUAUUCCUGUGAAGUUGACGGUGGCUACUUGGGAGUAAUGAACUCGAAUGAAAAGAAGGAUAUGUUUUUUGAUUUAAUAAACGGUACAGAUCAGUCCGUGUUUGUUGGUUCAACAAAUCUUUAUAUUGAUCCCUAUACUUGGUUAGAUGGCUCAGAUAUUCAAUUCUGGAAAGAUGGCGAACCAAACAACUUAUCUGGAGAACAUUGUGGUGGGAUAAGAUUUGUCUUGUGGGCCAUGAAUGAUAUCGUAUGCGACCAUGAUCAAUAUUUCGUAUGUGAAAUCCCUAUGUUUUAAAUUGAAAAUCCAGUUAUUUAAUAUACCAUUGUAACAAUAAUGCACGGGUUAUGUAUAUGAGUCUUUGUACAAUAUAAUAGCACCAUGUUGUUUCAAUAUUC